rnacentral:rRNA from 1 species
GCAGCCGCGGUAAUAYGAAGGGGGCGAGCGUUAUUCGGAAUCACUGGGYGUAAAGCGUGYGUAGGCGGUUYUAAAAGUUAGRAGUGAAAGCCCAGGGCUCAMCCCUGGAAUYGCUUUUAAAACUAUAGGACUAGAAUUCGGGAGAGGAUAGCGGAAUUGUCAGUGUAGCAGUGAAAUGCGUAGAUAUUGACAGGAACACCAGUGGCGUAAGCGGCUAUCUGGACCGACAUUGACGCUGAGGCACGAAAGCGUGGGGAUCAAACAGGAUUAGAUACCCUGGUAGUCCACGCCGUAAACGAUGUGUGCUUGUCGYCGGGAGGUUCUCCUUUCGGUGACGCAGCUAACGCGAUAAGCACACCGCCUGGGAAGU